rnacentral:rRNA from 1 species
AGUGAACGCUGGCGGUAGGCCUAACACAUGCAAGUCGAACGGCAGCACAGUAAGAGCUUGCUCUUACGGGUGGCGAGUGGCGGACGGGUGAGGAAUACAUCGGAAUCUACUUUUUCGUGGGGGAUAACGUAGGGAAACUUACGCUAAUACCGCAUACGACCUACGGGUGAAAGCAGGGGAUCUUCGGACCUUGCGCGAUUGAAUGAGCCGAUGUCGGAUUAGCUAGUUGGCGGGGUAAAGGCUCACCAAGGCGACGAUCCGUAGCUGGUCUGAGAGGAUGAUCAGCCACACUGGAACUGAGACACGGUCCAGACUCCUACGGGAGGCAGCAGUGGGGAAUAUUGGACAAUGGGCGCAAGCCUGACCCAGCCAUACCGCGUGAGUGAAGAAGGCCUUCGGGUUGUAAAGCCCUUUUGUUGGGAAAGAAAAGCAGCAGGUUAACACCCCGCUGUUCUGACGGUACCCAAAGAAUAAGCAACGGCUAACUUCGUG